CGUUGUUCGGAAUCACUGGGCUUAAAGGGCGCGUAGGCGGGUGCUUAAGUCCGGGGUGAAAUCCUCCAGCUCAACUGGAGAACUGCCUCGGAUACUGGGUGCCUCGAGGGUGGUAGGGGUAUGCGGAACUAUCGGUGGAGCGGUGAAAUGCGUAGAUAUCGAUAGGAACUCCGGUGGCGAAGGCGGCAUACUGGACCACAUCUGACGCUGAGGCGCGAAAGCCAGGGGAGCAAACGGG
rnacentral:rRNA from 1 species